AUUGAACGCUGGCGGCAUGCCUUACACAUGCAAGUCGAACGGCAGCACGGGAGCAAUCCUGGUGGCGAGUGGCGAACGGGUGAGUAAAGUAUCGGAACGUGCCCAGUCGUGGGGGAUAACGUAGCGAAAGUUACGCUAAUACCGCAUACGAUCUAUGGAUGAAAGCGGGGGAUCGCAAGACCCCGCGCGAUUGGAGCGGCCGAUAUCAGAUUAGGUAGCUGGUGGGGUAAAGGCUCACCAAGCCGACGAGCUGUAGCUGGUCUGAGAGGACGACCAGCCACACUGGGACUGAGACACGGCCCAGACUCCUACGGGAGGCAGCAGUGGGGAAUUUUGGACAAUGGGCGAAAGCCUGAUCCAGCCAUGCCGCGUGCAGGAUGAAGGCCUUCGGGUUGUAAACUGCUUUUGUACGGAACGAAAAGGUUUGGGCUAAUAAGCUGAGCUCAUGACGGUACCGUAAGAAUAAGCACCGGCUAACUACGUGCCAGCAGCCGCGGUAA
rnacentral:rRNA from 1 species